AAGUCGUAACAAGGUUUCCGUAGGUGAACCUGCGGAAGGAUCAUUAACACGUAUCCAACGUUAAACCCCCCUGUGAACCAAUGCCGUGCUCUCGUAGCCCAUGAUGAACAGCAAUCCCUGGUAAAUCAUUGUUGAACAGAUUUUGAUUCAGGGACCUCUGUUUGAAAGGCUCGUUACGAAUGUUGCGCUAGUAUCAGAGGCUUGGCUUCCCCAAGCGGUUGAUGAAUGAAAGUGUCAUCGGCCGUGCAAGGAUAACGCUUUAUGAUCGCUGUAGGUCGAACACCGGCCGGCGGACAAGUCUCAGGGCGAAAGCCCCCCUAAAACCCCACAGUUUCCCAUUAGGGCAGCGAUAAUCCGCAGCCCAAAAAACCCGAACAACUGUUAACAAUGGAUAUCUUGGUUCUC
rnacentral:misc_RNA from 1 species